AGGGGGCGGGGGGUACCCGCCUGAGAGGGCGCCCGCCCACCUUGGGAUUGAACCCCGCCCCAGACUCCUACGGGAGGCAGCAGUGGGAAUAUUGCGCAAUGGGCGGAACCCUGACGCAGCGACGCCGCGUGGGGGAUGACGGCCUUCGGGUUGUAACCUCUUUCAGCAGGGACGAAGUUGACGUGUACCUGCAGAAGAAGCGCCGGCUAACUACGUGCCAGCAGCCGCGGUAAUACGUAGGGCGCAAGCGUUGUCCGGAAUUAUUGGGCGUAAAGAGCUCGUAGGUGGCUUGUCGCGUCUGCCGUGAAAGCCCAUGGCUUAACUGUGGGUCUGCGGUGGAUACGGGCUGGCUAGAGGUAGGUAGGGGCAAGCGGAAUUCCUGGUGUAGCGGUGAAAUGCGCAGAUAUCAGGAGGAACACCGGUGGCGAAGGCGGCUUGCUGGGCCUUACCUGACGCUGAGGAGCGAAAGCGUGGGGAGCGAACAGGAUUAGAUACCCUGGUAGUCCACGCUGUAAACGUUGGGCGCUAGGUGUGGGGUCCUUCCACGGAUUCCGUGCCGUAGCUAACGCAUUAAGCGCCCCGCCUGGGGAGUACGGCCGCAAGGCUAAAACUCAAAGGAAUUGACGGGGGCCCGCACAAGCGGCGGAGCAUGUUGCUUAAUUCGACGCAACGCGAAGAACCUUACCAAGGCUUGACAUCGCCCGGAAACACUCAGAGAUGGGUGCCUCCUUUGGAUCGGGUGACAGGUGGUGCAUGGCUGUCGUCAGCUCGUGUCGUGAGAUGUUGGGUUAAGUCCCGCAACGAGCGCAACCCUUGUUCCAUGUUGCCAGCAUGCCCUUCGGGGUGGUGGGGACUCAUGGGAGACUGCCGGGGUCAACUCGGAGGAAGGUGGGGAUGACGUCAAGUCAUCAUGCCCCUUAUGUCUUGGGCUGCAAACAUGCUACAAUGGCCGGUACAGAGGGUUGCGAUGCCGUGAGGUGGAGCGAAUCCCAAAAAGCCGGUCUCAGUUCGGAUUGGGGUCUGCAACUCGACCCCAUGAAGUCGGAGUCGCUAGUAAUCGCAGAUCAGCAACGCUGCGGUGAAUACGUUCCCGGGCCUUGUACACACCGCCCGUCACGUCACGAAAGUCGGCAACACCCGAAGCCCGUGGCUCCAACCAGCUUGCUGGGGGGAGCGGUCGAUUGUGGGUCGCGACUGGCC
rnacentral:rRNA from 1 species